rnacentral:ncRNA from 1 species
GUCGGGAGGCGGCAGCGAUACAACACCCGCAUGGGGAAAGCUGUCGGCCGGUCUGUAUCCCGGUUUCUAACCUCCCGACUUCCUCGG